rnacentral:rRNA from 1 species
UACGUAGGUGGCAAGCGUUGUCCGGAUUUAUUGGGUUUAAAGGGUGCGUAGGCGGCCCUGUAAGUCAGUGCUGAAAUAUCCCAGCUUAACUGGGAGGGUGGCAUUGAUACUGCGGGGCUAGAGUACAGAUGAGGUAGGCGGAAUUGACGGUGUAGCGGUGAAAUGCUUAGAUAUCGUCAAGAACACCUAUAGCGAAGGCAGCUUACUGGGCUGUAACUGACGCUGAGGCACGAAAGUGUGGGGAUCAAACAGG